rnacentral:lncRNA from 1 species
GAGAAUUGAACUCGGGACCUUUUGCUCCCUAAGCAAAUAUCCUACCACUAGACUAAAUCCCCAUCUGUGUUGUACCACUGCAUCACCUUCAUUGGAGAGCUUCAGGCAAGAACACACUAGAUGCCAAAUUUGCAGGACCUUACUAUCUGUCUUCAGCUUAGACCUGCAUCAUGUAUCAGAAGUUCAGAACAACUGCCAACAGCAACAGGUUAUGCAUGUUUAAUUAUCUGCUUGUUCUAAUUUCAAUCCUCUGAUGCUGUAUUACGGAAUAUAGCAGCAUUAUUAGACUUUACUUCUAAGAGGAAGUGUUAGACCUUAGAAGACAAGUAGAAUAAACGCUGCAGUUCUAGCUAAUUAACUAGCUCGAAAGCAUAAAUUACAUCUCUCAAGUAUUAACGGCAGCUUAGAGCCCAGGCAGCAUAACAGGUGACUGCAGCACUAUUCACUGGGAAAGAGGCAGCUUUAAGACAUAAUAUUGCUUGCUCUGAACUAAUACUCAAAAAAGAUCCAAACACCGGUGUUUUAUACAAGUCCAAUGCGAUUAUAGUUAGUAAAAGGGCAUGACUAGGUCUAAGUCGACUAAGACUUAACCAAGUCUUUUUUUUAGAAAAGAAGGAAGACCCCCGGCCUCUACAUCUGGACGAUGCAUGCAGCCAUAACUUAACCAAGUCUUAGUCAAGUAAUAUACUCCCUCCGUCCCAAAAUAACUGUCUUAACUUUGUACUAGCUCUAGUAUAAAAUUAUAUUAAGCUUAAGACACUUAUUUUGGGACGGAGGGAGUAGCAUAUAAGAGAGGUAAAAGAAAAAUCUGAAAAGAAAAUUUUGCACAUAUCUCAAUGUAAGAUCUCACUUACAUGUAUAUAGAAUCGGUUGAGACAUUACCCACCACCAAAUUUAAUCUUAUUAUGUGGUCUGUGAAAUGCUCAGCCCAAAUACUGGAGAACAUCUCGAUAACUCAGAUGAAGUUAAUAUCAGUAGGUCUAUCGUUACAAAUACUUUCAUACUACUGAUUUGCAAUGCCGUUUACCAACAUGUAUUUGUAAACUGAGGCAGUAUGCAUUGAAGAUCACGAGUGAAUUCCCAGAGUUUCCACCAGAAUGACUACUCACCGCGUUCCCUCCAUUUCAAAUAUAUGCCCAUAUUCAUGGAAAGCCAUGCCGUCCAAUUGGGAAAAUCAACAGUGUAGUUAUUCCAAUAUCUCCAACCUGUACACUUGUUAUAUUGCCGUGACAUGGGUUGGGUGGAAAUAAAUAUAGUACCCCUCCUUCCUACUCCCUCCAUUCGAAAAUACUUGUCAUGAGAAUGAAUGUAUUUAGAUGUAUAUUAAUUUUAGAUACAUUCACUUCUAUUAAUUUUUUAGACAAGUAAUUUCGGCUACAGAGAAUAUAAUGUAUGGCCAUAUGGAGUGUCAAAAAACAUCUUAUAUUAUUGAAUGGAGGGAGUAUUUUACGUCCAUUUAAAAUACGAACUUGUCCAGCACGCUCACUAUCCAUGAACUCACAAAUAAUUAAUCAAUGAGAAAACAACUCGUCCAGUGUGCUCACUUCGGUCCAACUCUCAACCAAACGAGGCCAGGUCAAACGAUUUUACACAUAUGGGCCGGUAAGUCAAAUUCAUAUAAGAAAUAAAAAAGUAGAUCUUGACUAUCAGUUCUCAUAAAACUGAUUUUUUAAAAUUUGUUUGUAGAUGCUAAAAACAAAAAUUGCUCUCUACCAAGAGAUUUUUACUUGUCAGUCAGGAGACAUUGUAAAGGAGUUGUGUAUAAAACUGAGAAAAGGUGUUGAUUGGCAACAAAAAUUAAUAGGAUCUAUUGCUGGUAGAAUUACACUAGUGGGGACAGGGCCUUUAGUCCCGGUUCACCAACCGGGACUAAAGGCCUAACCUUUAGUCUCGGCCCUGUUUCAAGCCGGGACCAAAGGUGCUUCACGUGGCCGCCUCGGAGGGAGUACCUUUAGUCCCGGUUCUACUUACGAACUGGGACUAAAGGAUCCGUCUGUUUUUUUUUUGUUUGACCAAAAUUUUAUUUUUGAAUAUUUUUUAUGUUUUAUUCCAAUUUUCUAAUCUCUAAUCACCCAUCCUCACUGCUCUAGCGUGGAUCACUCAUUUCAAAUGUCUAACUUCCCGGCCGAUCACCCAUCCUUUCACUGCUUUAGCCCGAGCACGCUUAACUUUUUGGUUCUAUCGCCCCUAGUUGCCAAGUGUGCACUUGUUGUUUUCUUGACAAUAGUAAGCUAUCAAUCCUAAACAACUUGGGUCUUGAUGUCAUGUCACAUGAUUUAAUUUUUUGAAUUACAAACAAUUAUUAAAAUAAACUUAAUAAGUAACAAUAAUAGUGAAUUUCAAUAAAAACAACCUAAUAUUUUUAAAUAAAUUUUUUUUUGUUUUUGGAAAAAACUUUUUUUUUGAAAUAACUUUUUUUCCAUUUGGAAUUUUGAGCAUGUGAGAAAACUUCACCGGGCAAGCCCGGAUGAAAUCGAGUACCAAUUUUUUCUAGUUUUUUUUAUAUAUUAAUUUUUUUUGGACGUCGUAUGCAAAAGUUAUGGCCGUUUAUUUUUUUUUUCCUUUUUUUGCAAAAACGGUCAAAAUUCAUAUCUCAAAAUUUCUAUACCGACUAGACACUAAAACCUAACAACAUCUCAAAGGAUUUUAUUUUUUGAAGAUUUUAUCAUUUUUGUUUAUUUUUUGAAGAUUUUAUCAUUUUUGUUUAUUUUCUACAAAACUCAAAGUAUCAAGGUUUCAGACGAAAACCCAUCUGCUACAAAGGCAUUUUUUUAAAUUAAUUGAACUGUAGAUUUUUUUUGUGCAUUAAAUAUGCACCAUACUACAACAUGUUAAAAUCUAUAGAAAGAACUAACUAAAAAUAAUAAAAAACAACAAUUAAAUGACUAAAACAACUAUAUAAGCAAAACAAUAUUUCUUUAAUUAAAAUCCUAAUUUAAAUUAUUCGAAAAAUAACCAAAUAAAUCUUAUUGUGACAAAAAUCUAACACAUGAGUGGGAGCAAAAAGAAUUAAAUUAAAAACUAUUUGUAAACUCAAGUUAUUCAAAAACUGGGUUUGAAGCAAAUUUAAACAAAUUCAAAUUUAAACCAUUCAAAUUUGAAAACUAAUAGCACAAACAGAAACUAGACAAAAUUUUAAAUCUAAUGCAAAAAGAAUCAAUCAAAAACAUCAAAUAUCCUAAAAGAUAUAAGCAAUUUAAAACAAAAACUACAAACAAGAAUUUAAAAACAGAAAAAAAAUCUGAACACCUUUUGUCCCGGUUCGUGUCACGAACCGGGACUAAAGGUCUACCCUUUAGUCCCGGUUCAAGACACCAACCGGGACUAAAUCCUCCAAACCCUUUAGUCCCGGUUCGAGACACGAACCCGGACUAAAGGUCCAAGACACGAACCGGGACUAAAUCCUCCAAACCCUUUAGUCCCGGUUCGAGACACGAACCGGGACUAAAGGUCCCAUUUGAACCGGGACUAAUGCCCGACCGGCGCCUUUGCCGCUCGAACCGGGACUAAUACUAACAUUAGUCCCGGUUCGUAAAGGAACCGGGACUAAUGUGUUUUUUGAGCUGGGACGAAAGCCCUUAUUUCUACUAGUGUUACUCUCGUUCAGGCUUGUCUCACUAAUAUUCCUUUGUUUAGGAUGCCAUUUUACCCUAUUCAUGUUGGAGUAAAAAGAAGGCUGCUUUCUUUACAGCUAGAAUGGUUUGGGAAGUUGAUGAAGAUAUCUUGUUAAUUCGAAUCCAUGUUGUAAACCCAACACCAAGGUUGUUUUGGAAAUCUGGUGCUUAUGAAUAAGGUCUUGCUUGCCAAGUGGUUCUGGAAGUUGGAAACUAAGUUUGUUUUAUGAAAACCGUGUAGUUAAACAACUAUGCCCCUAACAAAUGCAUAUCUAGGGUCGAGUCCACAAUGGGAGAUUUUCAAUUUCGAAAAAUCCUCUUAAAAUUUAAAGAUCUUUUCUAUCAAUGUUGUAAGAACAGCAUUGGAGAUGGAAGUAGCAGUAGCUUUUGGCAAGACUGGUGGGGUUGGUGAUAAACCACUCAAACAUGCUUGCCCUAGAUUGUAUAAUCUUAGUUUCGAUCAUAAUAUCACUGUAGUUGAUGUUUUGGUGAAAGGCUCGAAUGGAUUUACCUUUAGAAGAACAGUUUUGCUAAGCUUCACUCGACCGAGACUUCGUUAUGUCUCAGUCGAUGCUAUAGUCUUUUGAUCUUGCAUGGAGAUUCGUACAAAGAAAUUAUUUUCAGUUUUUUCUUCUUCUUAGAUACUACAUUACUUGACUGAGACUUGGUUAAGUCUGAGUCGACUAUGACCUAGCCACAACCUUAGAAGAACUCUUUAUGGGGAGUCUCUGGAAUUGUGGGCGAGUUUGAAACAGAAAUGUGAAGAAGUUCAAAUGGGAAAGGGUAAAGACAAAAUGGAAUGGACUUUUACUUUUUUUUAGAAAAGGAGGCAUAGCCCCGGCCUCUGUAUCGAGAGAUGCAUGCAACCUUAUAUUAAAAUCAAAACCAGGUAUCAACAAAGUACAUAAAGGUCUAACAAAAAGUAAAUAAAAAGAUACAAGGUGUCUGUCGCGCCACAACAGGAGAGGAUAAUAGGCCCAGAUGACUAAUCAUCUAUCCUAUUAAUAUGUCGCCAUUCAAACCGGUUGAAGAUACCCUGAGCUACCAUCUCUCAUUGGACACAACCACUAACCAUAGGCUCCCUGGCUUUCAAAGGAGUGAGUAAGGACCACGUGUGGAUCAAGGCAGUAGCCCUGAAGAUAACCUGCAAAAAGUGAAUAUAGCGUUGUGUGUUAAACACUAAGUCAUUUCUGCAAUUCCAUGCAGCCCAAACUUUUUUAAAAAAUGGGUAGAAUUUCACUUCCCGGCCACUGCACCAACUAGGGAUGCAUACAACCAUUUUAGUAUGAGUACCAAGAUAAACAUGGUCCUCUAAAUUUUUUAAAUGAGUAUUAAGAUAUUUUUUAUGAGUGGUAUCACCACACGUCAAACUUGAUCCUCAAUAAAUGGAACAAAACUCCCUGUGCAUCACCUGUCAAUUCUAGGAAUUGAACUCGGGUCGUUGGGUUGCACAACCGCAUGCCCAACCACUGAGCCAAGACUCUCUUUGCAAAUGGACUUUUACUGAAGAUAGAAAUUUCACUGUGAGAUUUCAUUAUAAGAAACUGGUGGAAUCUGAAUGUAUUUCCCACAUAAAUAUAUGUGCAAAGUUAAAAUACCUGCUAGAAUUAAAGUGUUUCUUUGGCUAACGGCGAAAAAGAGAAUUCCUACUCAAGACAAUCUCUUUAGAAGGGGUUGACAUGGAAACAAAAUGUGUGUUUAUUGUGGGGAACAUAAAAGGAUUGAUCACCUUUUCUUUCAAUGCUCUCUUUCUAGACUCAUAUGGAGUUUCAUGAGAAGUGAUUUUGAUUUAAAUUCCACUCCGAAUAACCUAACUAAAUGUUUUGGAAGUUGGAUUAAGAGAUUCCAAUGCAUGAUUAAAAAGUUUGCAUGAGUUGCGAUUUCUGUUUUUUUGGACUCUAUCGGGAUGCAGGAAUGAUGUUAUCUUUGAGAUGAACAUUAUUAGUGACCCCAUGGUCUUAGUGAAGCUGUUAUGCUAUUAGAUUUCUAUUGCAGAUAAAGGAGGGAAAUCGAAAGGUGCUGACGCAGCAGGCAAGGCUCAUCAAGCAGAUAGCAAAUGAG